ensembl:snoRNA
AGGACAUUUCAAAGAGGGCUUUAGGGCUAUGAAACCAGGAGCUCUUAACCCUGUGACCAAAAGAUGAAGUUCCCCUAGGAUGCCAGAUCCAUGCAGUGGUGCUAUUUUCCUGAGGAGAUACAGUU